rnacentral:misc_RNA from 1 species
GAUGAAGAACGUAGCGAAAUGCGAUAAGUAAUGUGAAUUGCAGAAUUCAGUGAAUCAUCGAAUCUUUGAACGCACAUUGCGCCCGCCAGUAUUCUGGCGGGCAUGCCUGUUCGAGCGUCAUUUCAACCAUCAAGCCCCAGGCUUGUGUUGGGGACCUGCGGCUGCCGCAGGCCCUGAAAACCAGUGGCGGGCUCGCUAGUCACACCGAGCGUAGUAGCAUACACAUCGCUCAGGGCGUGCUGCGGGUUCCGGCCGUUAAACCCCUUUUUUACCCAAGGUUGACCUCGGAUCAGGUAGGAAGACCCGCUGAACUUAAGCAUAUCAAUAAGCGGAGG